rnacentral:rRNA from 1 species
GUGUGCGCGCUUCAGGGCCAGUUUCAGCAGAACGCUCUAUUUUCUGCUUACUGCUAAAUCCUCCUUCUAGAUACACGUUUCAGUGAUAUUUUUCGUAAUUCCUUAGGGUUAAGGAAUGUAGCCCAUUUCUUCCCUUUCCAUACGCUACACCUCGACCUGACGUUUUGGGUUGUACCAAUUGUGCUUACUAAGGGGCCUUCAUAGGGUAAGCUGACGACGGCGGUAUAUAGGCGGGGGGAACAAGGAAAGGUGAGGUUGAACGGGGGUUAUCGGUUUCAGAACAGGCUCCUCUAGGUGGGUCUAAAGCACCGCCAAGUCCUUUGGGUUUUAAGCUGUUGCUCGUAGUUCCCAGGCGGAUAGUGGGUGUAAAAAAUUGACGGAUGACAGGCUGAACGGCAC